ensembl:lncRNA
GCUGUGUCUCAUUUGCUAGAGCUCCAUUCUUAUGAGCACUUUGUAAAAGUAAAUCUUACUGAGUGCUCUUUUCUCAUCAUUUUGAAGGAUUAAAAAACCUUAAGAUUUUUUCAUUUUCUUUUGGGUGGUUUCAGUUUUCUCCCUUUCUAGUUGAUCUCCAUCUCACAGAAUUUAUGAUGUUUGUUUCAGCCUCUACAUGCAGACAUGAAAUGGGAUUCACUUGCCAGCAAAGCAUGACUUCUUCUGUGCACUGACUACCUGUCUCUGGGCUUCUUGACCUAUUUCUCAAGCUUUUCAGUAUAUAUACACAUACAAUGAGUUAAUCUACAACAAGCCUAACUCUUCUUAUAUAAAAGAGAUGAUUGUAGCAUUUAUCUUAAUAUCUCACGGGUACAAAAAGGUGUUUUGAUAGACAGCAAGACAUCAAUUACAGAUUUGAAGUGUGCUCAGAGACAUAUGGACGUUAUGUUAUCAGUCUGUUCAAAGAAUUAAGUAGUGAGGAUCCAAGAUGGCCCAGAUGUUACAAAUUUCUAUUGGCGGUCACUGAAGCAUGCAAUCUCAUGCAAGUGUUGCUUCUUGGAAUCAUUCAAGGCAGCCAGAAAAGGAUGGAAGGACUUAUUUUCAAUAUCCAAUACAUCUAAGAGAAUAACAAGUGCUUAUAAAGGCACAAGGAAAGAUCUACUUAAUUUACUUGUUGCAAGACGCAAGCCCUUUGUCUCAACAUCUCUAGCUUGUUGGCUAUAUAACCAUUGUAAGAAUGUGGACAAGAGUUCAGAAAGAGGAGCUGAGUCUGAAAGAAUCACAUUGUUGGAGAUUUUGACCACUACAUCAAGUCAUAAUUACAACAGUUUUCCUGGUUGGACAGAAAAACAUCUGCUGUGUUUCCUAUUAGGAAGUUCCUGUCAAGAUCAAGCAGCAAACAAAAUUCACGGACACUUGGCUUUAGAUCCCCUCCAGAUUUGCCCUUCUGCUUUCAAUAUCCUUUUUUAAUGAUCUUUUUUGGGGGAAAGAAAGAAAAUUUGCAUUGCUGGACAUACACCUUGUGGACACCUGUCUUUUUUGUCUGACACUGAAGAGAGACUGGUGGUUCCUGCAAGAAUUUUGAAUACACUGGAACAGCAGAUAUUUUGUUGUGCUCUGUUAAAUAAUAUAUAAAAAAAGGAGAGCUAUGACAGUAUAAAUAUGAAUCAAGUUGAAUUUUGUCGAGUGUGAAGUAAUGAAAAAAGCCACCUUAUUUCAGUGUACAAUGUAAAUAUGCACAGAACCCAAAAGGAUUUAAUUUAUUCUUGGUCUAACUCUCUUGAUUUAAUUAGCAUUAGACCAUGCAUUAAUUUGUCUAAAUAUAGUUUACAUCUAUAUUGUAAACUUAACAGUUGUAAUGUAUCUGCUUAUCACCUGGAACACAUAAAGUAAAAGCAGGGGAUCAGAAAAUUUGUGGUUGAAAUGCUUUGAAUUUCCUGAUUAAUUACAUAAAAUGUCAAAAUAAGAAUUCAAUUCAUGCUUAAAAAAGACAAAAUUAUAGCAACAACAUCUGCUAUUUUGCAAGUUCAUAUUCACAGACAGCACAUUUUUAAGAUGGAAAAAUUAUGUACAUAUUAUAAACUGCAUGUUUACCUGCUAAUAACAAUUUCAAUUUUGCCAUAAAUUUAUAGUUAAAUCACAGUAUAAUCAGAUUUUCAGUGAUCUGGACAGUCAUACUGGAAAUUAUGAAUGAAAACACAAUAGGGCAAUUUUUGUAUUACCUAGAGGUUGAGAGACCUCACAGAGUGCCAUUAAGGUCCUAUCAGGAUUUAACCAAAUGAUGGUUGUUGAAGAAUUACAGAGCAACCCCAAUAAUUGGAGAACUUCAGUGCAUUAUCUGUUAAACAAGUGUUCAUCUGCUCCAUCUGUGUUCCCAAAUGUUCAUGUUUAGGCAUUGGGAUCCUCAUCUUGUUAUGUUUCCUGGGUGCUGAAAUAAUACAAACAAAUUACACAAAGGUUAAAAAAAAAA